rnacentral:rRNA from 1 species
UCGGCCCGGGGAAUUCAACUUGCCGUUCGGGCGGCGGACGUCGGUGUCAGGGAUCCGUAAAUACCCGCCCGACGUUCUGGCUGUCGUACGGCGAGGGCACUUUCUCCGGGUAGAGCGCCACGACCGGUUUCGGCGGCGGUCACAAGCCGGUCGGGAAGGUGACUUCUUUCUUCGGGAGGAAGUGUUAUAGCCCGGCCAGGUGGACUCGCUCCGAGACCAGGGAUUUGCCGCGUCUCGCCUGCCCUCGCCCCUCCGGGUGCGUACGACCGGGGAAGCACUGCUUGCAGUUCUCUCCGACCGCGUGCCCGCGAUAGGUCGGGAAGCACGAGGCGCUUCGGGUCAGUGGCGAAUCGGUCGGUCCUCCAGUGCGCGAGUCAUGGGGUUACAUACGAAACCUACAGCAGCAAUGAAAGUGGAGGGCCACCUCCGGUGGGCCUAGGUAGGAUCCCCGUCAAAGGGGCGCACUACCGGCCCGUCCCAACCACACCGUUGGUGGGGCGGAGCAAGAGCGUACACGUUGGGACCCGAAAGAUGGUGAACUAUGCCUGAGUAGGACGAAGCCAGAGGAAACUCUGGUGGAGGUCCGUAGCGAUUCUGACGUCGAAAUCGAUCGUCAAACU